CCCCCAAGUAGCUGGAGUUACAAGUGUGUGCCACCAUGCCCAGCCACAAACUUAUUUUUUUUUUUUGAAACAGGACUCGUUUAUUUAUUUAUGAUCCGUGUGGGUUACCAAAAAAAAUCUUACGAUGCAGCAAGAUUUUCUUUUUUAAAGAGUAAAGCAGAAAAUGCAGAGAAUGAAAAAUAAGGAUGGGAAAGGCCAGACAUCCCCAGGGGAAAAGCGAGGCCACACCGGACUCGGUUUGGGGGCCGCAGGGGCACCUUGGGCUCUGUUCUGCCAUUGAGGCCAUGCAGGAUCCAAGGAGAAGCCGAGGCUGGAGGGCUGGGGAGCUCGGGCAGGCCUUCGCCGCGGUGGAAGGGCAUCUCCAUUUCAUCUCCUGAUCAGUGAGAAUUCCUUAAAGCAGGGCGCUUUUCUAACUCGUUCCACCUUCAUGAUCUCGCUGAGCCCCGUAGGGAUCGCUAGGGUCGGUGUACGAGGAGGGACAGGCUCUGCGGUUCCUUCUGCUGUCCCCAGGACGAAGCGCCUCUCUAGCCACUCAACCCCCACCCCGCGCCCUUGUGCCCUGAACCCCAUUCGCAAGGAAAUCCCUUCCUGGGGCUCCCCAGGCUCUUCCUCUGCUUCUGCUUCAUGCUCUCCUCAUGUCCUGCUCCAAUGGCAAGCGCGCCGAACGGAGUUCUCUGUGAGGUGCGCAACGGAAGAUCAGGGCUGGGCGAAGAGGCCACUACGGGAGGGGGAGGAGUCGAGGGUCAUAAAAUCCAGCGACAUGCACAGGACACGGGAUCCAGGAGGACCCCAGGGCUCCCGAGCGCUGUCCACAGACCCAAUCAGAAGGCGGUAUUUUCAGUCCUUCCUCGGAACCAGGUGCGGUUCGUAAGACCAAUCAGAAAAGUGCUGUUUUUCAGUCCUGUUGCUAUCUGGCAGGAAGUCCCGUGAGUUUUUGCCUAGCGCAGUCUACACCUGGUUCCGGGCCAAGUGGGUUUUUGACAACUGUCCUGGUGCCUUCUUUGCAUUGGGAGAAGCCAACUCCGGAACUGUGGAUACAAAAGAACCCCUGUCCGCCUCCUUGGGCGCUGUGCGCCUUCUCACGCGCCCGCUUACUCCGCAGAGCGUGAUCUUUUCCGCCUUCACUAAAUGUACGCUUGCGCCGCCUUUUCCGUGUCUCUUGUCUCGUCCACUUCUGUGUUCAGGACACCGAGGAUCCGGAGGGAAUCCCGCGGGACCCCCUAGCUGGUAACAGACAGGCCGUGGGUAGACGCUCCGGUUUCCGCACUGUGGCUAGAUAAACGCGGCUCUCCUAGAGCCAGAAUGAGGCACAGCCUUGAAAGAAACCACAGCCCCAGCGCUUUAUGUUUAAUUUACUUUUUUGAAGAACUGGGAUUGCCCUCCCCGCUUCAGUUAUUCUAAACUAAUGAGACGACCUGAAGGAAUGUACUGAGACCUCUGCGUUCGGUUGGGCUCUCAUCCAAAGAGCUUGGCGUCCCCUGGUGGCCAUGGAAACACAGAGCCUGCACCCCACCCCCACCCCCCGGCCAGGAUCUGCAGCGGGCGGGGAAGCCCGCGCUGGACGUCGCCCUCCUGGUACCAAAGAUUAAACCCAGCGACUAGGACAUGCUGGGCAAGCCCUCUACACCUGAGCUACGCUCCAGAACUUUUUAUUUGAGACAGGAUCUCUAAAUUGCCCAGGCUGCCCUUGAAUUUGAGCCGCUUCCAUGUCAGCCCUCCAAGCAGCUGGGACUGCAGGUGUGCACCAGCACAGCUGGCUUUAAGCAUCUUGCCUGGAAAAAAGAAACCGGGGAAACACUAUGUGCUUAACAAUAUUGGUUCAAUAAAUGAGAGGACAUUCAGACCGUAUGAAGAACAGGAGCGGGUGUCCAAGAUGUAUCAUGUGAGCAAGAUCACACAGUCAUUUCAAGUUACGAUUAUGAAGAUCAACGAAGCAACAUGGAAAAAUCUUAUGAUGUAAAGCGAAGAAUGCAGGACUCCAACCAUCUUGGAAUAUGAAGUGACAGAUUCACUGCAACCAUUCAAGAAGUGCUGGGAGACACAUUCGCUUGUGCUCGCCUGCAGGUCUCAGGAAACGCAGCCACCAGUUUCUCAAAAUUGCUUGCUUUCUCGA
ensembl:lncRNA